AAAUAUAAAAUUAAAGUAUAAGAGACCAGCUUGCUUGUUAAGAGAUAGGGGAAGCAUCUGUGAAGUUGGGAAACAGGAAGCAACUGCUACAAACCGCAAGGCUAUAGACAUAUUGCAAGGCGCAAGACCACAAAUAUGAUUAAUCAUCAUAUAGGGAGCUUUUCUUAGCUUCUUUUGCAGACACAGGCUAAGGAUGUUGGGGGAUGGCCGGAGCUGAUUGUGAAAUCAGCGACUACCGGGCGGCGGUCACCGGAGUAGACGGCGUAGGAGUGCUCCGGGUACGCCCAUCACUGUCCGGAGCCGAUUGUGAAACCAACGAUCACCUGCCUCGACACAACGCAGAGACGAUGCAGAGGGAUGCUUAAGCUACGCCCACCGCUAUCGCAAGAGACGCGAAUGAAGAAACCUCCAAGAAACUAUAAAAGAGACUGAACAAGGGGAGUGGGGUGUGGGGCACUGCAGUGUGGGACACUGCAGGAGGGGCGGUUUGGAGACCCCUACCCACCCAGCGCUGUUUUGCUUGCUACUGCUUGCUGUAAUUAAUAAAAUUCUAAUUGACUUUAAAAAGGCUGAACCAAAUUAUUCGCCUCAAUUUAUCACAAUUUGGUGCCGUGACUCGGAUAAAGGAAACCCGGGAGGGAGGCCCCACUAGGGUGAGGCGCCCCACCGCCUUUUUGCGGUGGACCUAAGGGGAGGCUUCCUCCUUGGGCCUUUACCGACGAACCUAAAACUCAGUAGCAAGCAAAGGUACCCCCGUUAAUCUUUGUGCACGAAGAACCGCGGAAGAGUGAACACGCAGGAAGCGGAGCUUUUCUUAGCUUCUUUUGCAGACACAGGCUAAGGAUGUUGGGGGAUGGCCGGAGCUGAUUGUGAAAUCAGCGACUACCGGGCGGCGGUCACCGGAGUAGACGGCGUAGGAGUGCUCCGGGUACGCCCAUCACUGUCCGGAGCCGAUUGUGAAACCAACGAUCACCUGCCUCGACACAACGCAGAGACGAUGCAGAGGGAUGCUUAAGCUACGCCCACCGCUAUCGCAAGAGACGCGAAUGAAGAAACCUCCAAGAAACUAUAAAAGAGACUGAACAAGGGGAGUGGGGUGUGGGGCACUGCAGUGUGGGACACUGCAGGAGGGGCGGUUUGGAGACCCCUACCCACCCAGCGCUGUUUUGCUUGCUACUGCUUGCUGUAAUUAAUAAAAUUCUAAUUGACUUUAAAAA